GGGGGCCCCUUCUCUUUUGGAGAGGGCCUGCGAUAGACCGCGACCUAGUGCACGAUUUUUGUGUGGCACGCUGCACGAUUUUGUUGCACGAGGUGAGAGCACGACUUUGGGCUUUCAAAAAAAAAAAUUAUAAUUACAAAAUAAAUAAAU